UACGUAGGGUGCAAGCGUUGUCCGGAAUUAUUGGGCGUAAAGAGCUCGUAGGCGGUCUGUCGCGUCGGCUGUGAAAACCUGGGGCUCAACCCCGGGCUUGCAGCCGAUACGGGCAGACUAGAAUUCGGUAGGGGAGACUGGAAUUCCUGGUGUAGCGGUGAAAUGCGCAGAUAUCAGGAGGAACACCGGUGGCGAAGGCGAGUCCCUGGACACUUCCUGACACUGAGGCACGAAAGCUAGGGGAGCAAACAGG
rnacentral:rRNA from 1 species